rnacentral:piRNA from 1 species
UCUCUGUCCUGGGGUUCUUGCCUUGGUGU